rnacentral:rRNA from 1 species
GAACGCUGGCGGCGUGGCUAAAGCAUGCAAGUCGCACGAGAAAGUUCCCUUCGGGGAGCGUGUAAAGUGGCGGAAGGGCGAGGAAUACAUGGGUAACGUACCCCAGGUACGAGGACAGCCACGGGAAACCGUGGAUAAUACUCGAUGAGACCACAAGUUCCGACGGGAACAGAGGUCAAUGGGCGGGGACUCCUUCGGGAGCCUGUCGGCCUGGGAGCGGCCCAUGUCCUAUCAGCUAGUUGGUGAGGUAACGGCCCACCAAGGCUACGACGGGUACCGGAACUGAGAGGUUGUUCCGGCGCAUUGGGACUAAGACACUGCCCAGACUCCUACGGGAGGCUGCAGCAACGAAUAUUGGACAAUGGGCGAAAGCCUGAUCCAGCGACGCCGCGUGUGGGAAGAAGCUCUUCGGAGUGUAAACCAUUGUCAGGGACUAUCAAGCGAGGAGAGCUAACAUCUCUCUGAGUUGAGAAUUCCCAAAGGAAGCCACGGCUAACUUCGUGCCAGCAGUCGCGGUAAUACGAAGGUGGCAAGCGUUGAUCGGAAUCACUGGGCUUAAAGCGCACGCAGGCGGACUGCCAAGCGUCUUGUGAAAUCCCUCGGCUCAACCGAGGAACCGCUGGGCGAACUGGCAGCCUUGAGGCAGGUAGGGGUGAGUGGAACUCUUGGUGGAGCGGUGGAAUGCGUAGAUAUCAAGAGGAACGCCGGUGGCGAAGGCGACUCACUGGGCCUGUCCUGACGCUGAGGUGCGAAAGCCAGGGGAGCAAACGGGAUUAGAUACCCCGGUAGUCCUGGCCCUAAACUAUGUCCACUAGGCCGAGGGUUCUCUGACGGAUUCGCGGCCGAAGAGAAAUUGAUAAGUGGACCGCCUGGGGAGUACGGUCGCAAGGCUAAAACUCAAAGGAAUUGACGGGGGCUCACACAAGCGGUGGAGCAUGUUGCUUAAUUCGACAACGCGAAGAACCUUAUCCUAGGCUUGACAUACACGGAUGCCUGCCUGGAAACAGAACAGGCUGCCCUUCGGGGUGAAACGUGAACAGGUGCUGCAUGGCUGUCGUCAGCUCGUGUCGUGAGAUGUCGGGUUAAGUCCCAUAACGAGCGAAACCCUUGUCGCUAGUUGCCAGCGGGUCAUGCCGGGGACUCUAGCGAGACUGCCGGUGUUAAACCGGAGGAAGGUGGGGAUGACGUCAAGUCCUCAUGGCCUUUAUGCCUAGGGCUGCAAACGUGCUACAAUGGCUGUGACAAACCGACGCAAGACCGCGAGGUGGAGCAAAUCGGAAAAAAACAGCCCCAGUUCAGAUUGGAGUCUGCAACUCGACUCCAUGAAGUUGGAAUCGCUAGUAACCGCGUAUCAGCGUGACGCGGUGAAUGUGUUCCUGAGCCUUGUACACACCGCCCGUCAAGUCAUGGGAGCCGGGAGCACCCGAAGCCGUGCCGUUUCAGGCAUGUCUAAGGUGAGCUCGGUGACUGGGACUAAGUCGAAACAAGGUA